AGACGGAGGGUGCAAGCGUUACUCGGAAUCACUGGGCGUAAAGCGCGCGCAGGCGGCUUGAUAAGUUGGAUGUGAAAACCUACGGCUCAACCGUAGAACUGCAUCCAAAACUGUCAGGCUAGAGUGUGGGAGAGGAAGAUGGAAUUAGUUGUGUAGGGGUAAAAUCCGUAGAGAUAACUAGGAAUACCAAAAGCGAAGGCAAUCUUCUGGAACACUACUGACGCUGAGGCGCGAAGGCGUGGGGAGCAAACAGGAUUAGAAACCCCAGUAGUCC
rnacentral:rRNA from 1 species